rnacentral:rRNA from 1 species
GGCUCAGAUUGAACGCUGGCGGCAGGCUUAACACAUGCAAGUCGAGCGGGGAAGAGUAGCUUGCUACCUGACCUAGCGGCGGACGGGUGAGUAAUGCUUAGGAAUCUGCCUAUUAGUGGGGGACAACAUCUCGAAAGGGAUGCUAAUACCGCAUACGUCCUACGGGAGAAAGCAGGGGACCUUCGGGCCUUGCGCUAAUAGAUGAGCCUAAGUCGGAUUAGCUAGUUGGUGGGGUAAAGGCCUACCAAGGCGACGAUCUGUAGCGGGUCUGAGAGGAUGAUCCGCCACACUGGGACUGAGACACGGCCCAGACUCCUACGGGAGGCAGCAGUGGGGAAUAUUGGACAAUGGGGGGAACCCUGAUCCAGCCAUGCCGCGUGUGUGAAGAAGGCCUUUUGGUUGUAAAGCACUUUAAGCGAGGAGGAGGCUACCGAGAUUAAUACUCUUGGAUAGUGGACGUACUCGCAGAAUAGACC